GACGUAGGGUGCAAGCGUUAAUCGGAAUUACUGGGCGUAAAGCGUGCGCAGGCGGUUUUGUAAGACAGCUGUGAAAUCCCCGGGCUCAACCUGGGAACUGCCUUUGUGACUGCAAGGCUUGAGUGCGGCAGAGGGGGAUGGAAUUCCGCGUGUAGCAGUGAAAUGCGUAGAUAUGCGGAGGAACACCGAUGGCGAAGGCAAUCCCCUGGGCCUGCACUGACGCUCAUGCACGAAAGCGUGGGGAGCAAACAGG
rnacentral:rRNA from 1 species